UAUUACCACCUCUUCUGCUACUAAUGACAGGGUUGCAGGUUUGAGCUCCCUCUCUAACACAAGACUAACAACAGCUUGUGAUCCUGAAGAAAUAAUCCAUUAGUGUUAGAAGGUAAGUGAACUCGAUGGUAAGCAAACGUUGAGGUACAAACCAUAAUCAGCUGCAGUGACAGGAGUUUUGUCGGAUUUUGUCCAUACUUCGGAUUGCAAGAGAGUCUUCUGAACUCCCUAUAUGACAAAAAAAAAGAUGGUUGCACUUCUUACUUGGCUGAGACGAGCAGCUAGAGAAACAGCUUUCUUUGCAGCGCCUAGCUCCUUCUCGUAAGACAUUACAAAGCUCCAAGAAUAUAUAUAUAUAUCCUUAGACUAUAUAGUUUUUAGUGCACCAAUACAUAGACGUUUGUUACAUAUAUAUAGAGUUUACGUAUGCAUUCUUUGUUUAUUCAACUGCAUAUUUGUUUUUUUGACUGUA